UUUUUCAAUACAUUGGUAGUCAAGGCGGGGCUCUAGUCUUGUUAAGGCGGCCGCCUUAACAAGAUAGUGCUGGGGGAAACCCUGAUAUGUAUGAACUACUUAAAUCUAACAAUUUGUUCUCUGUAAGUUUUUUCAUAAACCCGCGUUUUUUUUUAUUUUGUAGGAAGCUCUCCGUCUCUUCACAGCUCUGAUGAAAAUGGCCGGCGGAGCGAGGCCUGAUUCCCGCACACAUAGAGGCGGUCACUGCACAUUACGCCGAGACUCGCUGAAAGUCUGCAUUUGCAGUGCGGAAAAACAGCACCAUUGUACCUGCCUGUACUAUGACUUACUAAGACCCACUAUGAGCCAGUAUGAAGGAGCUUCCAGUACAUCCAUACGGACCUUGCCUCAGCAUUGAGGAGUUCAGGAGUUGGCAGAGAAGAAAGAGGAUGAAUUGGAUCCAUCCUUCCAAAGCCAGGAGCUCACCGACCUGUUUACCACACUUCAAAUAAGACUAGAACCUACACUGGAUCUCAUAGCUACACACCACAGACAUCUAAACACUGGGGCAGAUUCGGACAGAGUCCCACAAAGAACGUAUGAUCCAGAGGCUGCAAAGAGACAUUUCAAGCUUCACCUGAUUAGUUUUUCACUGGCUAGGCCAGUUGGGUUUGUACAAUAUUUGUGGUGUAUGUAAAUAAAGCUUUGA